rnacentral:rRNA from 1 species
AAAUGAUGGGUAAUACUGUAUAAUCCCUGCGGGGGAAAGAUUUAUCGCUAUUAGAUGAGCCUACGUUAGAUUAGCUAGUUGGUAAGGUAAUGGCUUACCAAGGCUAUGAUCUAUAGCUGGUCUGAGAGGACGAUCAGCCACACUGGAACUGAGAUACGGUCCAGACUCCUACGGGAGGCAGCAGUGGGGAAUAUUGGACAAUGGGCGAAAGCCUGAUCCAGCUAUGCCGCGUGAGUGAAGAAGGCCUUCGGGUUGUAAAGCUCUUUCAAUAGGGAAGAUAAUGACGGUACCUAUAGAAGAAGUCCCGGCAAACUCCGUGCCAGCAGCCGCGGUAAUACGGAGGGGGCAAGCGUUGUUCGGAAUUAUUGGGCGUAAAGGGCACGUAGGUGGACUAGUAAGUUAAAAGUGAAAUACCAAAGCUUAACUUUGGAGCUGCUUUUAAUACUGCUAGACUAGAGGUCGAAAGAGGAUAGCGGAAUUCCUAGUGUAGAGGUGAAAUUCGUAGAUAUUAGGAGGAACACCAGUGGCGAAGGCGGCUAUCUGGUUCGAUACUGACACUGAGGUGCGAAAGCGUGGGGAGCAAACAGGAUUAGAUACCCUGGUAGUCCACGCUGUAAACGAUGAGUGCUAAAUGUGAGGAUUUUAUCUUUGUAUUGUAGCUAACGCGUUAAGCACUCCGCCUGGGGACUACGGUCGCAAGACUAAAACUCAAAGGAAUUGACGGGGACCCGCACAAGCGGUGGAGCAUGUGGUUUAAUUCGAUGCUACGCGAAAAACCUUACCACUUUUUGACAUGAAGGUCGUAUCCCUCCUAACAGGGGGAGUCAGUUCGGCUGGACCUUACACAGGUGCUGCAUGGUUGUCGUCAGCUCGUGUCGUGAGAUGUUGGGUUAAGUCCCGCAACGAGCGCAACCCUCAUCCUUAGUUACCAACAGGUAAUGCUGGGCACUCUAAGGAAACUGCCAGUGAUAAACUGGAGGAAGGUGGGGAUGAUGUCAAAUCAGCACGGCCCUUAUAAGGUGGGCUACACACGUGCUACAAUGGCAACUACAAUAGGUUGCGAGACCGCAAGGUUUAGCUAAUCCAUAAAAGUUGUCUCAGUUCGGAUUGUUCUCUGCAACUCGAGAGCAUGAAGUCGGAAUCGCUAGUAAUCGUGGAUCAUCACGCCACGGUGAAUACGUUCUCGGGUCUUGUACACACUGCCCGUCACGCCAUGGGAAUUGGCUUAACUCGAAGCUGGUGUGCUAACCGA